rnacentral:piRNA from 1 species
UCGAAAUCCUCCCAAUUAUUU